AAGUUUUUGCAGCCACUUUGAUGCAUUUGGAUUUAGCAAUUUCAGUUAUUACGUACACGAGUCUUUCUUGAUUAUAUUGCUUUCAAUAUGGUUAUCAUAUCUACUCACAGUCAUCUCCCUUUUGCUGAAUAGAAUUGAGAAGCUGAAGCGUGGUUUUGGUAUGCACGUCCCUGAAGAGUUUAGGUAGCUGGAUAUAAUGCGGGGUUCCUUCAUUUCUAAUAAUCAGUUUAAUCACCUCCCUCGGAGCUACCUAUUGGAGGGCAAGUUUGUGAUUUCUACUAAACUUGACAUGGACGCUUUUUAAGUAGUACUUGGAGUGUUGGUGAGCAGCAGAUGUAGCACUCAAGCUGUGAUCACAUGAUCUUGUGGUUGUACUAUUGAUGACCUUGGUCCUACUAAUUUAGUUUAUUUGCUGAAAGCUAUGUUUGGAAAUGAUGCAAUCUGCGAGGCAACACUAAUUUCUGUGCAGCCUGUACUUAUGAGUGUUAUUGUCUUGAUGUAUUUUUCUCACCACGGGAAGCCUUAGGUAUACGUACAAUUAUCGCCUUGUAAUAUGUUCGUAGUGCUAUACUUCUCUAAUAUAUUUAUAUAUGUAAAUAUAUAUGUUACUCUUGUAUCAUCUCUUCCUAGUAUCAUAUGGUGCUUUGCUUCCGUGAGCUUGUGUAUUAGAAGUUGUUAAAUAUUGUGUAUUAGAAGUUGUUAAAUAUUCAUUCGUGGCGGCCAUGUCUGCACCCAAGCUCAAAUGAGCUAUGUUGAACCGUAAAAUCAGAAAUAUAUAUAAAAAGAUCUAGUUUCAUUAUGGUAAACUAUGACAAAUGUUCUAAGAGUUUGCAAUAUUUCAUCACAAAAUCACAUUUGGAGUUGUAGCGAAAAAACAAAAUUGAUACUCUAAAAAUGCUAUUAUCGAAAGCAUUUUAAAGCACUAAUUUUGUUUUUUCGUCAUCACUUUAAUAAAUGUGUUUUAGUGAUGAAAUUUUGAAACCUUUUAGAACAUUUAUCAUAAACAAGUUCAGCUUUUUUGAAAUAUUUUAAAUAUUUUCGGAGUUGUUAAUCUCGGCUUAUUUGAGCUGUGGUGUAGAAAGGCAUUUUUGACACGCUUGUUAUCUAUAUGACCAAAUCCUAACUGAGCUUGCUCGUAGUUGCACAAAUUUGACAUUGCUUGUGGCACUCUGUGUUCAUAUCUUCGCUCUGUUGUUCGUCAUGGAAAAAAAAUUAGGGCAAGCGUGUGAAGGCUAUGAAAAGCCACUUUGGAUUUGCAGGAAGUUUUGCGGUGGAUAAUGAAGGCUUAAGUGGUGGCAUUGGUCUUUUCUGGUCCAAAGAUGUUGAUGUGGAACUAUUUUUUUAGUACCGACCACAUUGAUGUUGUGGUGUGGAACAAGGAUCAUCUUUCUCGUGAAUGGUGUUUUACGAGUUUCUAUGGAGCUUCGAAAGUCAAUGCUAAUCUCCGUUAGAGCGGUGUGGAGGCACAAUGCUCCCCAAGAUGCCACUAAGGCCACCGUAAUAUCCUCACGCCCUCGCAGAAUGCAAGAUGCCGUGAUUCCACUAAGGGACCCUUGAGGGCGGUCACCGAACCCGUACAAAUGGCAAACCUUGGGGGCGGUCACCGAACCCGUACACGUGGCAACCCUUGGGGGCGGUUACCGGUACCCGUACAAAUUGCUCGGGGCUAUCUCCACAACCUAAUUGGAGGCCCCGACGCUUGCCUGGAGCUUCACACCACAAUGAUUGAGCUCCGAGACACCACCAAGCUUCUAGUAUGCCAAAGCAUCCACGAAGAACAAUAUCUAGGGUACUAAGUACCAAAGGUAGUAAGCUUCUCAACUUCUCACUUCCACGUAUCACCGUGGAGAACUCAAACUGAUGCAACUAACGCAAUGGCAAGAACACACAAAGUGGUCAAGUCCCUCACACUCAAAUCCCUCCACAACAACAAAAGCUAUGGAGAAAUAUGAGAGGAAGAACAAGGAGCUCACAAAGAACUCCAAGAUCUAGAUCCAAGGGGUUCCCCUCACAUAGAGGAGAAAGUGAUUGGUGGAGAUGUGGAUCUAGAUCUCCUCUCUCUUUUCCCUCAAGAACAAGCAAGAAUCAUUGGAGGGAUUGAGAGUUAGCAAGCUCUAAGAAUGUCAACAAUGGAGGUAGAACAAGAGCUCAACGGAUAGAUGAGGCCAAGGGGGAAGAAGACCCCCUUUAUAUAGUGGGGGAAGGAAUCAGACCGUUACCCCCACUAUCUGCCCGAGCUCCAGCGGUACUACCGCCAACUAGCGGUACUACCGCUGGCCCGAGCGGUACUACCGCUGGGCCCCUGGUAGUGCAAAGGCACUACCACCGCCAAGAAAGUCUUCGCAAAAAGGUCCGUCCACGAACAACCGCUAGGCAAGCGGCACUAACCUCCUGGAGCGGUACUACCGCUGACCAGUGGCGAUACUACCGCCAGCCAGCGGUACUACCGCUAGGGCCAGUGGUACUACCGCCAACUCUAGCGGUACUACCGCUAGGUCCAGCGGUACUACCGCUCGCCACUGAAACAGCCAUAACUUUCGCAUACGAGCUCCGAAUCGAGCAAACCAAGGCUUGUUGGAUUCAGGACGACAAGAGCUAUCCAAACAGCCUUUCUCAUGGCAAACAUCCUUUAGGAAGUGUACAUAGAUUUAACACUGAACCCCUUUUUUCCCUAGCAUCCACACCUUCAUCAGUCAAUGUGGUGGAGUGGCAAACAUCCAGUAGGCCUUGCCAUUGCACAGCCAAUUCCCCCCGCAAGCAUCUAUGAGAUUGGAGACAUGUCCCUUGAGAGUGAACAACUUAUAAACAAUUGACAGUUUUGCCAAAUGUAAGGUUAUAUAGACUUUUAAAUCUGGAAAUAAUAGAUGGCAUCCAUGUGAUUGGCAAUUAAAACCAUGUUUGCUUAGUUUUGAGUCCGUCUGUUCUCGGUGGUGCGAGCUCAUGCUGCAUUUUGAGAUUGUGUACAUAAGAUGGUAAGACUGUUUGUAGGAGGAACUGGCUAGAGCCAUGGAUAUCUUAAGGUGGAGAAACAAGUAAACAUCCAUGGAUACCAGCUAAGGGAAUGUAAUGGAAGAUAAUCCAUGGAUACCAGCUAAGGGAAUGUAAUGGAAGAUAAAUUCUACAUAGUUUGCCAUGGAUUUUCAGUCAUGUCCUAAGCCACAUAUACUCUAUGUGCCCCCUGGCUUUCUGUUGGGCCUUGUAUAUUUGGUUUCUGGGAAGUACCGAGUUAGAAGAAAACUGUGCUAAGUGCUUACCUAGCAUAUAUUACCAGCCAUCCUCGUUAAGUGAAGUGCCAUUUGGAACACUAUUUUGAGCCAUAAUACAGUUUUACCUAUGACAAUGACUUGUUUCUCCUAGUCACAACUCUCCAAUCUUUAGCAUGAACUAACCUUAUUUGACACUCAAGUUUAACUGUACUUCCAAGUUUUUGAAGUUGAUUCGAGAAGUUCACUCUCUCCAAUCCAGGAUGUAGGAGAGUUGGGCACAUGAUUAAUGGUGUAGGUAGCAAUGUUACCAUUUAUUUGUUUCUACAAUAAAUACAAGUGCUAGAGUUUCUUGUGGCAGCACAAUCAAUACUAGAGUUAUUACUAAUACUUGAUGAAACUAAUGAGGCGCUAAAUAAGCACACCAUGAGCAGAAAUAUGAUGUACUAAACUACCAGGCCUUAUUUGUCAGUUGAAAAGGCUAAACCACAAUUUUCCGUAUUUGCCAGUCAUUGCUACUAAAUCUCGUUAGACUAAAUUAUCAGUUCCUCUAUAUCCGCAACCCGAGCCUUCAAGUUCAAAACCUUAUCUAGUCUAGAUUAAAUAAAUAUCACAUGUCACAAAGUAAAGCGAAGCAAUUGGUCUUUCCUUGUGCUUUCUAUUAGAACAGUCUCUUUCUAUCUGUGUUCCUGUAUUAUUCAGCUGCCACAUUUUGGUUCUUUAAUUGUCAACAAGUCCAAGUUUUUCAGCCACUUUGAUGCAUUUGGAUUUAGCAAUUUCAGUUAUUACGUACACGAGUCUUUCUUGAUUAUAUUGCUUUCAAUAUGGUUAUCAUAUCUACUCACAGUCAUCUCCCUUUUGCUGAAUAGAAUUGAGAAGCUGAAGCGUGGUUUUGGUAUGCACGUCCCUGAAGAGUUUAGGUAGCUGGAUAUAAUGCGGGGUUCCUGCAUUUCUAAUAAUCAGUUUAAUCACCUCCCUCGGAGCUACCUAUUGGAGGGCAAGUUUGUGAUUUCUACUGAACUUGACAUGGACGCUUUUUAAGUAGUACUUGGAGUGUUGGUGAGCAGCAGAUGUAGCACUCAAGCUGUGAUCACAUGAUCUUGUGGUUGUACUAUUGAUGACCUUGGUCCUACUAAUUCAGUUUAUUUGCUGAAAGCUAUGUUUGGAAAUGAUGCAAUCUGCCAG
rnacentral:lncRNA from 1 species